UCACAGCUUUCCAUUUCGGAAGUACAUUGGGAGCCAUGUAAAGCCUAUAAAUAAGGUUUCUCAGAAGAAUAUUCGUCUUAGGUUUCCAGUCCUUCUCAGGGCGAACCUCUGACCACACACAGAGCUCGUCUUAGGCUUUUAGUUCUUUUAAGAGCUAAGUCUCUGACCACACAGAGAAUACUCGACCAAGUUCCAGUUUCGAGGCAGGCGACCACCAUUAAUACAAGAUGUUACAGAUACCUCUCAUACUGUUAGUGUGAAAAAUCACCACGAAGAAAACGGUUACAAGAUAUCUAUAACUAGAGAAACAUAACCAAGCAGAACAUAUAAUGAAGAAGCAGCAAGAACCAAUCGACAAACAUCGAAGAUUUAAAUUGUACACGAGACAACUACAGAUUCAACUAUAGCGGUUAGGUGAAAUUCUCGCCACGAAGAAAACGGCUACAGUAACAUGUCUGGAAGUAUAUUCAUAUCAAGAGAAAGAUAAACACAACGAGUGAUUCAAUUAAUCUCAACUGCAACACGCAAUACCUUGAUAUAGAACUCUUACAGUGUACCUCAUAAACGGUAAAUCAAUUAUCUGUUCUUGGGUUCUAGUUUCUUCUAAGAACUACCUUAAGCCAUCUGUUAUUACCUGUUGCCAAGCCGAUACCAACAACAUUAACUGUGAAUCAAAUCCCAUCGUCAAUUCACUGGUCAGUACCUUUUUACGCCUAACGAACACACAGACACAAAAACAUGCGAACACUUACAAACUU